GUGCUCGCUUCGGCAGCACAGCUACCGAGACGUUGCAACGACACAGGGAAGGUUAGCACGGCCCCGGCACAAGGACGACACGCAGAAACAUCAAGGGAUGCUUCUGUGG
rfam:Canis lupus familiaris chromosome 17, whole genome shotgun sequence.